CCCGCUCGCGUCCCCUUCCAGACUGUGGAAGCUUUGUUUUUUCGCUUUUUGCAGUAAAUCUUGCUACUGCUCGCUCUUUGGGUCCAGGCUGCUCUUAUGAGCUGUAACACUCACGGCGAAGAUCUGCAGCUUCACACCUGAGCCCAGCGAGACUACGAGCCCACCCGGAGGAACGAGGAGCUCCAGACGCGCUGCCUUAAGAGCUGUAACACUCACCGCGAAGGUCUGCAGCUUCACUCCUGAGCCAGCGAGACCACGAACCCACCAGAAGGAAGAAACUCCGAACACAUUUGAACAUCAGAAGGGAUAAACUCCAGACGUGCCACCUUAGGAGCUGUAAACCUCACCGUGAGGGUGCGCGGCCUCAUUCUUGAAGAACCCAGCCAGCAUGCUUGUGAGAAGCAUGCCUGAGUCCUAGAGAGUCAAUAGUCUCUGAUGAAUGCCACCCAACAGUCAAUAUCAACUGAAAGCCAUCUGCGUGAGCCAUCUCAGUCCAGUCAAGCUAUCAACAUGACUGCAGCAGCACUGGAGACUGCAAGAAAGAAUUGCCCAGCUUAGGCCAGUCAACACACAGGAUUACAAAAGGUAAUUAUAAAUUAUUGUUUCAAGUCACUGAGUUUUUGGAUAACAACAAAUAAAAUGAGCAAUGUAAGUUGGAUAACCUUUAUCCAAAACACUUGGGACCAGAAUUGUUUCAGAUUUCGGAUUUGUUUUUUUGGAUUUUAG
rnacentral:lncRNA from 10 species